AGAGUUUGCUUUUGGCUCAGGACGAACGCUGGCGGCGCGCCUAACACAUGCAAGUCGAACGGAGUUGUAUGAUCUGUAGCGAUACAAGGAUUACAACUUAGUGGCGGACGGGUGAGUAACACGUGAGCAACCUGCCUUUCAGAGGGGAAUAACGUUUGGAAACGAACGCUAAUACCGCAUGAAACUGUCGGAAGGCAUCUUCUGAUAGCCAAAGAUUUACCGCUGAAAGAUGGGCUCGCGUCCGAUUAGAUAGUUGGUGAGGUAACGGCCCACCAAGUCGACGAUCGGUAGCCGGACUGAGAGGUUGAACGGCCACAUUGGGACUGAGACACGGCCCAGACUCCUACGGGAGGCAGCAGUGGGGGAUAUUGGUCAAUGGGGGCAACCCUGAACCAGCGACGCCGCGUGAGGGAAGAAGGUCUUCGGAUUGUAAACCUCUGUCUUCGGUGACGAUAAUGACGGUAGCCGAGGAGGAAGCCACGGCUAACUACGUGCCAGCAGCCGCGGUAAUACGUAGGUGGCAAGCGUUGUCCGGAAUUACUGGGUGUAAAGGGAGCGUAGGCGGGGACGCAAGUUGAAUGUCAAAUCCAUCGGCUCAACCGGUGAUCGCGUUCAAAACUGUGUCUCUUGAGUGGAGUAGAGGCAGGCGGAAUUCCCAGUGUAGCGGUGAAAUGCGUAGAUAUUGGGAGGAACACCAGUGGCGAAGGCGGCCUGCUGGGCUCUAACUGACGCUGAGGUUCGAAAGUGUGGGUAGCAAACAGGAUUAGAUACCCUGGUAGUCCACACCGUAAACGAUGAUUACUAGGUGUGGGGGGUCUGACCCCCUCCGUGCCGGAGUUAACACAAUAAGUAAUCCACCUGGGGAGUACGACCGCAAGGUUGAAACUCAAAGGAAUUGACGGGGGCCCGCACAAGCAGUGGAGUAUGUGGUUUAAUUCGACGCAACGCGAAAAACCUUACCAGGUCUUGACAUCCAACUAACGAGGUAGAGAUACGUCAGGUGCCCUUCGGGGAAAGUUGAGACAGGUGGUGCAUGGUUGUCGUCAGCUCGUGUCGUGAGAUGUUGGGUUAAGUCCCGCAACGAGCGCAACCCUUAUUGUUAGUUGCUACGCAAGAGCACUCUAACGAGACUGCCGUUGACAAAACGGAGGAAGGUGGGGACGACGUCAAAUCAUCAUGCCCCUUACGUUCCGGGCUACACACGUACUACAAUGGUGAGAACAAAGGGAAGCGAUACCGCGAGGUGGAGCGAAUCCCAUAAAAAUCAUCCCAGUUCGGACUGCAGGCUGCAACUCGCCUGCACGAAGUUGGAAUUGCUAGUAAUCGCGGAUCAGCAUGCCGCGGUGAAUACGUUCCCGGGCUUUGUACACACCGCCCGUCA
rnacentral:rRNA from 1 species